rnacentral:rRNA from 1 species
AAAUUGAAGAGUUUGAUCAUGGCUCAGAUUGAACGCUGGCGGCAGGCCUAACACAUGCAAGUCGAACGGUAACAGGAAGCAGCUUGCUGCUUCGCUGACGAGUGGCGGACGGGUGAGUAAUGUCUGGGAAACUGCCUGAUGGAGGGGGAUAACUACUGGAAACGGUGGCUAAUACCGCAUAACGUCGCAAGACCAAAGAGGGGGACCUUCGGGCCUCUUGCCAUCAGAUGUGCCCAGAUGGGAUUAGCUAGUUGGUGAGGUAACGGCUCACCAAGGCGACGAUCCCUAGCUGGUCUGAGAGGAUGACCAGCCACACUGGAACUGAGACACGGUCCAGACUCCUACGGGAGGCAGCAGUGGGGAAUAUUGCACAAUGGGCGCAAGCCUGAUGCAGCCAUGCCGCGUGUAUGAAGAAGGCCUUCGGGUUGUAAAGUACUUUCAGCGGGG